GUGCUUAGCUAGUUGGCGGGGUAACGGCCCAGCCAAGGCGACGAUGAUUGAGGGGAUCUGAGAGGAUGGCCCCCCACACUGGUACUGAGACACGGACCAGACUCCUACGGGAGGCAGCAGUAAGGAAUAUUGGUCAAUGGAGGCAACUCUGAACCAGCCAUGCCGCGUGCAGGAAGACUGCCCUAUGGGUUGUAAACUGCUUUUAUUCGGGAAUAAACCUUAUUACGUGUAAUAAGCUGAAUGUACCGAAGGAAUAAGGAUCGGCUAACUCCGUGCCAGCCGCCGCGGUAAUACA
rnacentral:rRNA from 1 species